rnacentral:rRNA from 1 species
CCUACGGGCGGCAGCAGUGGGGAAUAUUGCACAAUGGGGGGAACCCUGAUCCAGCGACGCCGCGUGAGUGAAGAAGUAUUUCGGUAUGUAAAGCUCUAUCAGCAGGGAAGAAAGAAAUGACGGUACCUGACUAAGAAGCACCGUCUAACUACGUGCCAGCAGCCGUGGUAAUACGUAGGGGGCAAGCGUUAUCCGGAUGUACUGGGUGUAAAGGGAGCGUAGACGGCGAGGCAAGUCUGAAGUGAAAGGUCGGGGCCCAACCACAGGACUGCUUUGGAAACUGUAUGGCUGGAGUGCAGGAGAGGUAAGUGGAAUUCCUAGUGUAGCGGUGAAAUGCGUAGAGAUUAGGAGGAACACCAGUGGCGAAGGCGGCUUACUGGACUGUAACUGACGUUGAGGCUCGAAAGCGUGGGGAGCAAACAGGAGUAGAUACCCUUGUAGUC